UUGAUUAUCAAUUCAUUGUCAAUGUAUUUGGCUUGUUUGUUGAGAUGUGCUACUUAUAUGUUGAUCAAAUUUGGUUGCAUUACCUCAGUGAAUUGUUCAUUUUGAUGAUCAAUUCAUUGUGGUGUUCUCUAUUGUAAUACAUUAAGUUUAAAAAAAAAAGUCAAACUAAAAUAAAAUAAUAAAAUAUAGUAUGUGAGGCGGUGGAAUUGGAUUGAUAUCAAUCCAAUUCUACCCAAAACAAAAUUUAUAAUACCA
rnacentral:lncRNA from 1 species